UGGGGAAUUUUGCACAAUGGGCGCAAGCCUGAUGCAGCGACGCCGCGUGAGGGAUGAAGGCCUUCGGGUUGUAAACCUUUUUCGCUCAUGGUCAAGCCGCAGCUUUGGGUUGUGGUGAGGGUAGUGGGUAAAGAAGCGCCGGCUAACUACGUGCCAGCAGCCGCGGUAAUACGUAGGGCGCGAGCGUUGCCCGGAAUUAUUGGGCGUAAAGGGCUUGUAGGCGGUUGGCCGCGUCUGCCGUGAAAUCCUCUGGCUUAACUGGGGGCGUGCGGUGGGUACGGGUUGACUUGAGUGCGGUAGGGGAGACUGGAAUUCCUGGUGUAGCGAUGGAAUGCGCAGAUAUCAGGAGGAACACCGGUGGCGAAGGCGGGUCUCUGGGCCGUUACUGACGCUGAGGAGCGAAAGCGUGGGGAGCGAACAGG
rnacentral:rRNA from 1 species